rnacentral:sRNA from 1 species
UCUCUCCCGAAGCUGUGCACUCAUUCAAAGAGGAUGACCUUCCCCGAACAGAGGAGGACCAGUCUUCAGUCAAGGGUAUACGAGUAGCUAUGCUCCCCUGCUAGAACCUCCAAACAAGCUCAAGAAGUUGUUUUCUAUAAACUAAAAAGCAGAGUGAACU